UAUUAACUUUUUGUUCAUUUAGUAGAUGAUGAUGGUAGUGGUGGUGGUGGCGGUGGUUGAGGAGGAUAUCCAUUUUUUUUACUAGUUGAUGGUAGUGGUGGUGGAGGAGAAAAAAAUUAGUGAAGAUGUACCAAUAUUAUUCUUAUCAGUAGUGGUGGUGGAAUGUGUUGUUGUAGCGCUGGUGGUGGAUAUUGCAGCAAUACUACUGGUGAAUGUCGUUCUUAUUCUGGUCGUGGUGGAUGCUUGUUGCACGGCGGUACAUUUUCUGGUGGUGGUGAAUGUAAUUGAAACCCAACUCACAAUAGUUUAUGGAUGCACAAAACAAAGGUGAGAAAAGUUAGUGGUGUUGGAGGUAGUGAAAUGGAGAUAUCAAGAACUUUUGUGUGAUGGAGAUCCUUGUACGUCUCCUCAACCUUCUGGUAUCAAGGAGGGAAGCCAAGACAGAAACAAGUACUAUUGAUGCUUACACAGAAAUCUACAUCUGGGGUAAAGGCUUUAAUGUUGUUCUAAUGUUGUGUGAAUUGUUAUUUCUUAGAACUCAAUAAUGUUUAUGGCUCGAUGCAUGUUGUGAUAAUUGUUCUUAUGGGUAUAGUGAUUUGCUUCCUAGUCUACCCUAGAAAUAACACUAUUGAUAACAUAGCUUAGUUCAAAAUAGAAAAAGAAAAUUGUACUCAUGCUCUGAUGAAUUCGUUGGACUAGGAAAACCAUUGUCUUGUUUAUCAUAAGUUUCUUAUAUUUUUAAA